rnacentral:rRNA from 1 species
GUUUUUUUUUAUAAAUUAUAAUCUCUUAAAUUAAAGGAGCUGCUACUUCUCUGAUUAUUUAUUGUGUAUACGAUUAAAAAAGUUACACAGUAAAUUGUAGGUAAAGCAGAAUAUUGAAAGAUGUAUUCCUAUAAGUUACAUAAGCUCUAAGAGAAAUUUAAUCUCUAAACGAAGUGAAUUGAAAUAUCUUAGUAACUUCAGGAAAAUAAAUCAAAAGAGAUUCUACGAAUAACGUGAGUGAAAGUAGAGUAGCCUAUAAAGUAAAAUGGUACAAAAACUGUUUAAAUAUAAUGGGGAACCUUCCUCAAAGGCUAAAUAUGAUACAUGAGCGAUAGUGAAAAGUACCAUGAGGGAACCAAGAUAAAAAUAGUAGUUUUAUAAGCAGUUUAAAAUAAAAAACGUACCUUUUGCAUAAUGGGUCACCAAGUUAACAUUAGAUGCGAGUAUAUGCGUAGUUAAACCGAACGUUAAAAUAACGAAUUAGUGUCUAAAGUUAGACCCGAAAUACAGUGAUUUUACUAUAGUCAGGAUUAUAAAAGUCUGAACGGAUGAUUGUAGCAUAAAUCUCCGAAGAACUGUGGUAGGUGUAGUGAAAGACAACACUGACUGUGAUAGCUGGUUUUCUGCGAAACCUAUAAUAGUAGGCAAUUUAAGUUAAUAUCUUAGCAGGUACAUAAUUUAAUCUCAGACAAGAUGUGUAGUUUCAAGGCUAUGAAAUAAAGCUUUAGCUAUUUUUUUUUUUUAUAAAAAAAAAUAGCGCACUCCAUUUUAUUUUGUACAAAUUGGGAAAUUGUGAAGAUUUUAUCAGUGAGUAUGUAUACUCGGAAUGGCAAAGAUAUAUCUUAAAUUAUCAGACAUAGAAUGAUAAGGUUGUAUGUCAAAAGGGAAACAGCCCAGAACAAGAGUUAAGGUUCCUAAAUUAUUAGUUAAGUGAAAUUAAGAAAGUUUUUAUUAAAGUCGACAAGGAGAUAGGCUUAGAAGCAGCCAUAAUUUGAUGAUCUCGUAAUAGAGCGCUUGUUAAUCUAUAAAAGCAUCGAAAAUUUAACGGAUCUAAACAAUAUACCGAAACCUUGUACAUGAACGUACCAUAAAACAUUUUUUUUAUGAUGAAGCUCACUUGACAUAAUUAUAAUCAGAGUAGAGUUGUGUUGAAUCAUAAAUAAAUAUUAUAUUGGUAUUAGUUCUAUUAAAUCUUUUAAAAACAGAUAAAUAGAGCGUUUGGGGUAGCAGAACGUUGAGUAAAAAAUGAAUUUUAUUUUUUUAAUAAAUUUGGAUCUAUAGCUUUAGCUUGCGUAGCGCUUAUGCGCUUGCGUAUCCAUUAGGGAAUAUGACAUGUAAUUUUAACUCAAGUGAGAAUGGUGACAUGAGUAACUAAAAGAAAAUUUUCCGCCUUAAGCUUAUGGAUAAUAUUAAGUAACGGCCUCUAAGUUUAUAUUAUCUAAAGAUUUAAACGAUGAGAAAAUCUUUUUUACUAAGGACAACAUUUUAGUAUAAAAUGUGCUGGAAAAAUAGUAAAUAUAUUUGUGAGCUUUAUAGUGAGCUUGCUUGCUUGCUUGCUAAUUUUUUUAUGUAUAUUACAAUGUAUAAAAAAAAAAUAAAGCCCAAGUUUUAACUAACAUUAUAUGUUAGAUAAGAACAAAUGAAUAAAACCGUACCUAGAAUCUGAAACAAGUAAGCUAGUAGAGAAUACGAAGGCGUAAAUGAGCUAACAAUCAUAAAGGAACUCGGCAAAUUGACUACCGUAACUUCGGAAUAAGGAGGGCUCAAUUCUUGAUUAAUAUCAAGUAAAAAGGAAGAAGCAUAAAAUGGUGUUGUACGACUGUUUAAUUAAAACACAGCACUUUGCUGAAAGAUAAAAAAAUCGAAGUAUAAAGUGUGAAAUCUGCCCGGUGCCGGCUUUGGUUAACAGAGAUAUUUAAAUAUAUUAUUAUUUAUUAACGACGGAAACCCCGGUUAAAGGCGGCCUUAACGUGAGGGUCCUAAGGUAGCUAAAUGCCUUGGCCGUUAAAUGCGGUCUUGCAUGAAUGGUGUAACGAUACAACAGCUGUCUCUAUGAUUGACUCAGUGAAAUUGGAAUAGCUGUGCAGAUACAGCUUACCUCUAGUUAGACGAGAAGACCCUAUGCAGCUUUACUGUCACUAAUUAUAGAUUAUGAUUGAUAAUUUUCAGUUUAUAAGGUAAUUGAUAAUGUAAUAAUGAGAAUCCUUUAAUUAUCUUUCAUAUGAAUGAAUUGGUUUAGGAUUAUAUAAAAAGUUUAUUUAGAUUUGGCUUUACUGAGUUUAGUUAUACGGAAAUAUUUCGUAUAAAAAUCUAAAAAUUCUAAAAUUUUAUAAUAGUAAAUCGACCUAUUUCAAUUUACUAUUUAAGACAUAAGCUCUUAAAUGUAAGUGACCUUUGGUGAGGAACUGUAAUUAGAAGACAGUUUAUGUGGGGCACAGACCCUGUAAAGAGUAAACAGGAGUGUCUAAUAAUUUAUAAUUAUUUUGUUUGCUAUUUUGAGUAGUAAUACUUCUAAUCCUUAAUCCCAUGUGGGAUAUGGGGAUAGUAAGCUAUAACUAUUUUUAAUCAUAUAUAAUUAAUUAUAUUUAUUGGAGGCGCAAGCUAAACUGCUUGUGAGUAUAUAAAUAGCCUUUAGUAAAUAUAUUUAAGUUUAAUUAGGUAGGAUUUUAACUAUAUAGAAAUUAGAGAUAACUAAAAAUAUUAUGUAAAUUUAAUAUGCAUAGUUUGCUAUAAGGUAAGUUAUAUAUUAAAGUUUACUAAUAUUUAAGGUCUAUUCUUUUUUCUUGCAUACUACGUACUACGUACUACGUAAGCAUAAAAAAAUUAGAAUAGUUAUGUUUUAAAUAUCUAAAAAGCUCAACGGCUAAAUCUUGCCUUACUGUUUGAUUAUCUACAAAUCUUACAGUUGCGUAAGCAGGGCAUAGGAUCACAAGAUGCAAUAAGGAUAGAUCUUGGAUUAUUGGAAAAGCUACGCUAGGGAUAACAGGCUAAUUUGCGUAAGAAUGUACAAAAUGAGUGCGCGGUUUGGCACCUCGAUGUCGGCUUAACUUAUCCUCAUGGACGCAGUAAUUAUGUAGGGUGCGACUGUUCGUCGAUUAAAAAGUUACAUGAGCUGGGUUAAAUACGUCGUGAGACAGUAUGGUUUCUAUCUUCUAGAGGGAAUUAGAAUAAAAUAAGAACAAACUUUUGUACGCAAGGAACAAGAAGAGUUUAACUCAAAAAGUUAAAUUAUGGUUACUAACCUAUGGUUUACCUGUUGUUUAUGUGCCUAAAUAUUAAAUAUAUAUAUACUAGCCGUAUUGGGUUACAUGUUAGCUACGUAUAUAUAUAUAUCUUUUGAUGCACUAUAAAGUGCUCUUAUAGAUAAGGAUGUUUCUUUUACUAAGAUAAAUGUAUAGCAUAAGCACGGCAGGAACGCUAAGUUAGUUAAAGAUAAGUGCUGAAAGCAUAUAGGCACGAAACUUAUCUUAAGAUAUUUCUU